CUCUAAGGGGGUCCAGGUCCUGGGCUCUGUAAAGCGCCUUGAGACAAUUGUAUUGAUUUGAUUGAAUUGAAUAAGGGAAUAGGAGAGAAAGUCAAGUCAAAGAAAAAGAGAAGGAAUGUAUUUUUUAUGGUCUAAUCCUCCAUGACUGACGUUUUUUUUUAAUGUUGUAUAUGAUGUAUAUCAUAAAUUAUUUUUAAAACCUUAUAUUUCUAUUUUUAUAUGCAUUUAUAUGAGAGAAAAGUAUAUACCAAGGUUCCUGGUUUGAGUCCCACCGUUACCAGAAAUUGAGGUGUUCAUUAUUUACUGCGAAGUUAAUUUUUGUUUAAAUUGGAAAUCAUAUCAUUUGUUUGUGUAACCCAUAUGAAAUACAGGAUUACUAAUACACAAUGUCAUCUAGAGAUGUAGUAGCAUGUUGCCCCCUAAGGAGGGCGCUCUAUGCACAACCAUAGAGUAAAAUGCUUAGUUACCAUCUCAUUUUUGCUUUGAGAUCUCCACUGGAAAACGUGUCCUUGAAUCGACUAACAACUUUUGAUACAAAACGCCACAAAAUAUUUCUAAUCGUUUUAUUAUUUCCAUUUAUCGUUAAGUUAAUAAUUUUUUUAAAUUAAAAUCCCAGCUGUGAGCGUGAGAGAAGAGAGUUCUGUUGAGUGUGAAGUGUUUGAAACUCCGCCAUGAAAGCGAGUCCCUCCUUUCAACGGCGAGAUCUUGACAGGGGAAAGGCAGCCCCAAGGCUUCCUCUGAGAUUUCAACAUGCCUGGGCAUUCUGAUGUUUUCUCGCUUCGCAACACUUCUACUCGGAAUGUUGUCCUCUAUUGAGUCACUUCUGACCGGAGCCUGGGAGCACCUCACGGUAGCGUGGCCGAGCGGUCUAAGGCGCUGGAUUAAGGCUCCAGUCUCUCCGGAGGCGUGGGUUCAAAUCCCACCGCUGCCAUUAUUGCCAGCAGUGCAAAUACAGCUGGCUUUGGCCUCAAAAUGUAUGUAAAUGACAAUGAAUGUUGUGCUCCGUAAAUUCGUAAGUAACAACUAUAAGUAAAAA